UAGAAUUAAAUUAAAUUGGUAUCUACAUUAUCUUAAAUGGUCAAACCUAACAAGCUGAAAUUUAGUUGGUUAAAUGUAAAUACUGCUUCCCCCUCCGGAUCCCGUAUCCCAAAUACUACUGUGAAGUGGCCAAGUACAAUAUAGAAGAGGCAUAUUAACUGUGAUUAAUAGAAAAGUUUAUUUUUUGACACUUUUCUGUUUUUUCCUAAAAUAAGCAGUUAUUAUUUUUACAACAAAAGUUUAAGCAUUAUUUAAAAUUAUUUUGAAAGCUUGAAAGCUCUCGAUAGAUAAAGUUAUCCCCCACCUCCCCCAAAUUUUCUGCCUCCAAAUGUUUAUGUAAUGCUGUGAACAGUGGGCUCUGAUCUUUGCCACUGUGUUCCACUUUGUCAACUCCAUGAAUAGUCUAUCAUUCAGCAUCUAGCCAGGAAAACAGAAACCACCCUCAGUCUUUGGAAUAGAGGAGUUAAUACAGGGAAUUGAUCACCCAGGUGAUGGAAAACAAAGCAGCUAAACAUGGAUUGGUGAGGCAACGCAGAGAAGCGCUAAUCACCCUCAGCCGAGGAGGACAACAGGUGAUUGUGUGGUUACCAGAAACCAGAAGCUGGACUCAGAAUCAACUCCCUAAAUUCUUGUGCAUUGGUUUUAUAAACUUACUUCUGGUCUUUGUUUCUGGAUACAAAAACUGUAGAACAGAGAGGACGAGAUAUCCUGGAAAGCCGAAGGUUUUAUUGACCAAAGACUGUCAUGUUGGGUACACAGCUAUGCACACGUGCGCUUCUUGCUUUCUCUUUGCUCUUGCUCAUGCUUCCAUCACAGAGUUUUGGAAUGUUUUGAUGGGGAGAGUAACAGAAAUCAGGCUGAGGUUUUAUAGAGAGAACUCUUGCAGCAAUAUAGAGAGUGGAUGGAUGCUAAAGGCAGGAAGACUGAACAGUAACAUACUGACCUGGGAAGAGAAUCAAUGAAGACGUACCAGAUGCUGAUUCAGAUGAAUCUGAAGUGGCCCCAGCUACCAAGCACUUCAUAAUGUGGCUAAAAUGAAACUGGAAACAGUUUCACAAUGGAUAGUAGACCCUAAUAAAAGCACUCUGUAAGAUGGGACCUAAAAGCUUGCUGUGUAUGUGCAUUUGGGUUGCUAAGAUACUUUCUUCGUUUCUGGCGGUGUCACCAGGGAGAGGACAAGAAUCCAAACUGAGGUGUAAGAAGGGCAGAAAUACAUGGUGAUUUCUCUGCAAAAUUCAGUAGAACAGUUUUACUCAAAUAAUGAUUCUUGGGCCAUCUGCCUCAGAGUCUGUGGAGAUAAGUUCCGAAAAUCUGCAUUUUAAAUAAGGUUUGGAAGUAAUUUCAAAUUUUAAAAGCUAUUUGCGUAGGAAUUGCUCUAGUCGCUACUAAAUUUUGGUAGUAUAGAAAGACAGUGUAAUGUCAACAUGAAUUAUUUUUCAUUUGCGUAUUAUUUGUAAUUUCUGACUUUAAGACUUUUCAUUAUCCUUGAGGACCAUAAAUUUCAAAGAUAUUUGUAGCUGUGGGUUACAUUACAUUGAUUUUGCCUGAUUGGCUUUUAUGAAACAGAAACUCAAAUAUUUAUUUGGCUUAGCAUAAUUUUCUUCUAUUUCUUAUUAAUUAUUACUUUCUUCAAUUUCUUUCUUCAAUAUAUGUGUACUAGAUCUCUUUGAUUUAGUGACCACGCCUAUCUUUUUUUUAAACUUUUUGUUUUGAAAUAAUUAUUGAUUUGUGGUAUAUUGCAAAAAUACUACAAAGAAAUCUUUUAUGUGCUUCAUUCAUAUUACCCCAAAGGUUAUACCUUAUGUAACUAUAUUAUAAAAUCAAAGCAGGAAUUUUGGUACAGUGGGUAUGUAUAGUUCUAUGCCAUUUUGUCACGUGCAUAGAUUUCUGUAAUCACCACAACAAUCAAAAUAUAAAUCUAUUCCAUCUACACAAAUAUGUCUCCUCCUUUAUAUAGUCAUACCCCUUACCCCUUACCAUCCCUAGCCCCUGGAAACCACUAACCUCUCCUCAAUCGCUAUAAUUUUAUAAUUUGAGAAUGUUGUAUGUGGAAUCAAAUAGUAUGUGACUUUUUGAGAUUGGCUUGUUUCACUCAUCAUAAUGCCCUUGAGAUCCAUCUCAGUUGUUGCAGGUAUCAAUAGUUCACUCCUUUUUAUUGCUGAGUAGUAUUCCAAAGUAUGGAUGUACCACAGUUUAUUUAGCAAGUCUCUUAACUUUUCUAUUAUCUUCAACUACAUUUUCUUUUUCUUUUAGUUCUGGAAGAAUUUCUAAAUUUGAUUUUAUAAAUUACCUCUCCCUUUUUUAAAGGAGUUAAUUUACUGUUCUUUGUUUCUAUUGGCUUUCUAAAUUUGAUACAUACAUUUUCGCCCUUACGAAACUAAUCUUAAUGAUUUCAGAUUUUUCUCUUUACAUAGAGUUAGUGACUCUCAAAUCUUUGUAAUAUAAUAAUUGUAAUUAAUAUAUUGUUGAUAAUAUAAAUUAUAUUUUUAAGUGUUCUUAUGUUUCAUUGAGACAAUAUAGUCAAGUGGCUUAAAAGCACAGAUCUAGACUCACACUGCUCUGUACAAAUCCAAACUACCUGGUUCAAGCUGGAGCGCAUUUGAUCAGAGCCGGCUGUGAUUUUUUGCGGCUGCCUGGAUUACUGGGACUGAGGUUCACCAGACAGACAGAUGCUAGUCAGUGCGACUUUCAUGAUUCCUGAAACCAGUCCUUUGUCCAGAAGUCACCUUUAUAUUGUACAUAUCCUGAGCAUGAAGUUACUCAAGUCCCAAGUGAAUACUUGCAGGUCUGAAAAAAAACUACUAGGAGUGAGGAAAGAGAUUCAUGGACAAAGCAAGGACUUUCCAAAUGAAACAUACAAUGGACUAAUGCAAUGACUUUAAGGGGAAAUGACAAUGACAAUUUUAGCCUGUAUGUAGGGGGAUUAUUGCUGCCAGUUUUUGUUGAGUUCAAGAUUGCAUCAACAAUGGGCUACACUGAAGUUCUCAGGUAGGGUCAGUCAAGUAACCUUUGCUUCUGGGUUUCAGGACUGUUGAUGACACAGAACUGAAACUAAGAAUAGAUCUGUGGUUGACUUUGUUUGAUCUGCUUUUUUUUUCCCCUUAAAUCUUGCUAAAUGAAUGGACUUCCCUUCAAGUUACACCAUCAAAACUAAGCAGGGACCUAACUUAGGUAUAUACUCUUGUAUAUUUCUGCUGUAUCAUGGUAUUAGUUCAGUAUUAUAUGGGUGAAUUUGGGGAAGAAGUGAGGAGAAUCUGCAUCUGCUCUGGACAAUGAAAAAAGGAUAGUCUUGCUAUGAUGUUUUAAGCAUCUGCCCUGAUCCCAGAUGAAAGUUGGUGUUGAUAUCCUAAAGGAGCAAAGAGAUGUACUGGUACUUGUGUUAUUAAACAUCCCUUCACUCUUAGAGGACUGCAAAGGUCCAUUUUCUUAAACAAUUUUCUGAGGGGAGCUGUCAUUGACAAGAAUUAUGGAGUUUGUCUCUAUUAUUAACACAAAUUGAGAAAAUUCAGUUGAGAACAGUGUUGAAUUUUUAGAAGUCCAAAGAUAUCUCUCUGUGGAGAGAGCAUUUGCUUUACUAAAUCUCCGUUAGAUAAACUCAUAUUUUGAGGGGAAUGGUAAGAGAAAAUUUCUCCAGGUGUUUAAGCCUAGGAAAAUGAGACAGAGGAGAUAAAGAACGGGGCCAUAUGAACUAUGGGUUGUUUAUAAAGAGGAGAAGUGAGAGCCAAUGAAAUACCCUCACUGAGUAAAAGAGGUAGGGAUUGAAAAGGGACUAUCAGAAAGAAAUCUAGGAGAUCAGCCAGAAUAAAACUGCCAAAAAGUAAGUUUCAAGGAAAAGGAGGAGAUUAGUGGGGUCAAAUAUUGAUUAAAAUGGAUUGAGAUGAAGAUGGAGAAAGGUUGUUGGACGUGGGGAUUAGGUUAUUAGUAACAGUCUUCAUGAGCAGUUUUCACAAGAGUUGUAGGAGUGGAAAUCAGAGAUUAGGAGAACUACGGAAAUUGGGGAAGGAAAUGUGAGGACUCAGUAUCUUUGCACAAGUUUGCAUUUGAUGAGAUUGAUGAGGAUAAAAUUUUAAUUUAAGAUAAUGUCAAGAAACCGUUGUAAGUUGGCUGGUCAUGAGCAUGUUUGUAGGGAUAGGUUAUAUUAAGAAUAGAAAAAAACAGAAGAGUAAAGAAAAAUAUAUUAGAACCGCUAGCUGAAUGGUAAACAACAAACUCUCAUUUCACUAAAUAUGUCUGGUUUAUGUUAAUUACAGAAUUUCUCGGGCAAAUGUCAUUAUGCGUUAUAUAAUCUUGUGCUGUUUUCUCUUUUCCAAUUUUCCUUUUACAAGGUAAAUUCACCAAAACUUCCUUCUGAUUUAUUUGUGAUGGAAAUUGAAUUAUAAAUUUGCUUGAGUUAGAAUAAGAACAAAACAAAAAUUCCCUGAUAGAAAUUUUGUUAGGGUAGGCCACCACAUGCUGGAGGAAUCCAGCCACAUUCUCCUCUGUAAUCCUGAUAAGUCUCUUGGAAAAAUAUCUGUUGUCCAAAAGUAAAGCUUGAUCUUCAUUCAGUUCAUAUCCCUGCAUAUUAACCAUAUUAGUUUAAUAUGGUAUCAUAUUUGCUUUGUAAAUAGAAUCAAUGCUUUUUUAAAAAAAAAAAAAACUAUCCUACAGGAAUAUUUACGUAGAGUAUUUAAAAAUGGGUAGUUUAAAAAUAACUUAUUUUUAGUGUUGAAAUAUAUACAUACUGAUUUGUCACAUAUAAAAGGAAAUUCUCCUUCAUAACUAUAUCUUGCUCAUACUUAAUUUAAAGUUUGUUGUGCUUUCAAUUCCUCAACAACUGGUGGUGACGAGGUAGCCCUGGAUGGCUAUGGAAUAUCAGUCCAGGUGCCUUAGGAAACGCCGAAAUUUGGGAUGGCUUUUUUUCUCUGGACCUGGCCUUUUUUACUACAAUGAAAGAGGAAUUCCAGUAUGCUAAGAGAUAGACUCUACAAAGGGUUUCAGUUUCCCUCAUCUCCUACAAAAUGCAAUGUCCUGACAUGCUCAGAUAUUUCAUGCACUGCUUCUGCCUUCAGCGUGAAGAUGGCAACCACCGACUAUUGAAAUAGUCUGGAUCCAGAGACUCAGAUCAGUGGCCUUGUUCACUCCACCUUUUGGGGCAGAUGACAGUGGGUGUCCACUUCCUACAGCUAGGUUUCUGAGAGUAAGACUGAGUGACUCUUCUAAAAGGGAGAAGAAGUUCCAAUCCUUCUUAUAACUUUUCCCAGGACUGAAAUGUGGCCCAAUGUUGAUAUCCAAUCAUGGUUAUCUUACCUCUUUUGGGGUAGGUCAAAGGUAAUACUCCUUAGGACUCCAAGGAGCACAUUUUUCUAUUCAAAAGAAAUCUCAGAAAGAAAGCAAUCAUAAUGUCUGAACUUAGAAGGGCUUUUCACAGAGAGGUUGCCAACAUUACAUGCUCUCCUCCCUUGUGGUAAUAUUCAUAGUGUAUCUUUAGUGAAGAGACACACAAAGGGCUGUAAUAACUUGCUUAAGAAAAGAUGCGCAUUGAUACUAACUGGUUGAUUCCAUGUGCACUUACGAGGAGGACAGAUCGUACACCGUGCUGUUGGAUGAUCUUAGACCAUAAAGAGACUCCUGAGAGAUCAUUAUAACACUGGGAUUAAAAAUUGCCUACAAAAAUCCAAAAAGUGCAUAAUUUAUGGAGGGAAAAACAAAAGUUUAAUGUGAUUAAAAAUUCUAUUUUGCAGCUUAUUACCAUGACAUGAGUGUAACUAAUGAAUAGGAGUUGGAGUUAUGGCAUGAAGGACAUAGCUUUUAGACAUAGUUGUCUGAACUGUUUGAACAACCUUAAAAGCUCCAUCUGUACCCAUAACAUAUGCCUCAGUUUCCACAUAAAAUUUCAGAGUUCUGCCUUUUACUUCGAGGACUUUCUUGUUCUGGAAAAGUACAACAGCUUACUACCCAGUACAUUAUACCUGGCUUUGUUUAUCUGCCAGGCUUCUUCAGAUCAAAUUUUCUGUCUCAGACCAUCAUACCCAGUUCUGAGAGCUCGAAUAGGAUGGGCACCUUCUUCUCUGCAGGUAGCCCUACAUGGAACCCUCAGCUUCUGCUGAAAUAAGGUUUAACACAGGAGAAAUAGGAAGGCUGGUUUGCUACCCAGAGAGAGGAUGAUGUAUUCAGUUUGCAGAUGGAAAGAUUUAGACAUUCUGUAGGCAACUGGAGAUGUUGGAAUCCAGGCUUGGGUGAGAGGUUAGGUUUGGGAAAUCAAUUGGCUACUCAUUAGUAUAAAAUGAUAAUUGGUGCCGGGAGGCAGGAUCAGUGGGCCAAGGGAGAGUAAGUGGAGGGAUAUUGGGACUGAGGAGUGAGACUUGCAGCAAGAAAAGGAGUUACUGAAGGAGAUGUAGAAGCCAGGUGGAGAGGCAGGAGGAGCCUGUCGCUGUCCUGCCACAGCGGGCCCUCACAGUCAUGCGUGGCUCAAGUCUGGAUUUUUGACAGGAUGUCCCAAUGAGAUCGCCCCACUGUAUUUUGUGUGCAUGUAUUAAACUUUUAAUUUAACCACAGUAUACAUGUAAAACGUACCAAAAUGUUUGGAUUCUUAAAAAAAAAAAAAAAAAGACGUGGCUUGGAUUGCUACUAACUAAUGAUUAUCUUGGGAGGAAAAUCAGGACUCUGAUCUGAGAAUGAGUAAUCAUGGAUAUCAGAAAUGUCACAUGUUGAGGAGACACAAAAGAGAAUAGGAACUGAGAAAAGACCAUGGUAUUCAUCGAGGGGACUACUGGGUUCCUGAAGAGAGGGGUCGAGAAUUGUGGUAAAUGAGGGCAAGGAAUGAGUGCAUGGUAAGAAAAUGGUGUUGGUGUCAAACAUCCUUUAAAGGAGAGGUUGGCAAUUAGAACUGCACGUGUGUGUGUGUGUAUUUUACUUGUUUUGUAUGUGGUGUGUGUGUGUUAGGCCACUUUCCCUUAGUUUGUUCAUUUUUGCCUCUUAUGUCCUAUCUCUUUCAACACCUCGUAUUCUCUAGGGAAAUGGAAUCCUGGCCAAAGGAUUGGCCUGUAAUCUGGUUGUCACAAACAGAGCACAGCGCUGAGUUUUUAUUCACACUGUGGUGCUGGGAGCCAGAGCUAGAUAAAAAAAAUUGCCCUGAAGUCUGUUAUACUGUGACUGAGUCAGGUUAUCUAUAAAAGAGUUCUUUAGGAAACAGGAGUUGAGGUACACAGCUUAAAGGAAUGAGGCCAAAGAAUAGAAAGCUUCAUGCAACUCGCAGUGGAGGGGGCAAGUGAAAGCUUGUCUAGAGAAUUUGGAACCAAGUAUAAUACGUAUUAUGUAGACAUUGCUCCUUCAAGGGCAAGUAGGGGCCAUUUAAAAAGUCUAAACUGGGUACCUAUGUAAUAUUGUUACAUAUUAUUUACAUCUCAACCACCAACAUUGCCUAUCAUUUUCAGCAGCAUUCACAGAGCUCCUGAAGCAGAAAUAGGGCCUGAACCAGACCCAGAAAUUCAGGGAUCGAUCUGAUUCUGUGGUGCCUGCAGGAGCCAUUGUUACUACAUUUCUGUCAACCCCCAAGGAAGCAUGAACUUGUACAUUUGGUUCUGUGACCCGACGAAGAGUAUCUCCUGAGGAUAGCGGGAUCCUACAGUGUUCAAGCUAGGGUACAGAAGACAUGCCCAACAAAAACUUCCUGAAUCAAUGAAGUGAGAGGUGAUAUCAGAAGACAAGCCCAAAGUGAGAUGGGAAGCCAUUCCUGAUGACCUAAUCUACAGAAUGAAACCCCUCCCCCAUUGUUCUAUUUCAUAGCACCCUGUUCACAGUUUGUAAUUGUACACUCACCAGGUUGUUUACUUGAUUGACGGCUGUCUUCCUCGUGGAUCAUGAACUCUGUGAAAGCGGGAAUCAGAGCUGUUUUGCAGCAUGCCCAACAUCUAGGGGAGUACCGGGAAGCAGGAGGCAUUCAGUAAAUACUGAUGGAGUCAAUGUAUUAUACAUUAUAUUAUCUUAUAUAUAUAUUAUGCAAUAUAUAAUGUAUAUGUUCUAUGGAGUAAAUAUUAUGGAGUGAAUGUAUAUAUUUCUUGUUCUGUAUGUGAAAACAAGUAUGUAAAUCAGUUAAAUUCUGUUAGUAUUAUUUAUGUCAAAUAAUAUGUCAAAAAUUAUGUCAAAUAAAUAUUAUAUUAUGUCAAAUAGUAUUAUGUUAUGUCAAAUAAAUAUUAUGAUACUAUGUCCAUUAGCAGCUAGGCUCUUAGAGACAACCAAAGUGUCAAAAAAAGCUUAUCAGUGGGAAAUUGGAUUUAGUGUGGUGUAAGAUUUGCAGGUAAAAUAUUUGAAUCCUUUUAAAGACAUAACGUGUGUGUAUUUAUAUUACAUUAUAUUGAUACAAUAUAAAAUGUCUAUUUAUAAUUAUAAUGCGUAUUUUAGCUUUAGGAAGAGCUGAUAUUUCUCAGUUUCCAACAAAUGUGUACACCAGGGUGGCUGGUAUUUGUUUUGACUGGGCUGGUGUCUGAGGGGUGGUUGUUCCAUUUUUAUUUUUAUCUCUAUAAAUACUACUUCAGUAAACAUCAUUAUAGAAAUAUCACUACAUAUUAAUGCUUUGGUUUUUCCUGUCGGAUACAUUUUAAAAAAUAGGAUUUCUGGAUCAAAAGUAUGUGAAGUUUUCAUUUUAAUCCAUAAUUCUUGAUUUCUCUCUAAAACUGUUGGUGGUAAUUUAGAUUCCCAGCAUCUCUGGAAAGAGUGUCUUUUUCCCUGCAUCCUCGCCAGCACUGGGGUUACUAUUUUUUUAUUGCUAACCUAAAGGCUGAAAACUGAUGCCAUUUUUAUUUAAUUUGAAUUUUUUUAUUCUAUUGACAUAGAAUAACAAAAAAGAAUUCUAUUAAGUGGGAAAUGGGGAGUUGCUAUUCAAUGGUGUAGAGUUUCGGUCAUGCAAAAUGAAAAAGUUCUAGAGAGCUGCUGUACUACGAUGUGUAUAUAAUUAUCAAUAAUGUAUUGUACAUUUAAAAUUUUAAGAAAGUAGAUUUAAUGUUAUAUGUUUUUUACCACACACAAAAAAAGAGAUUUCUAUUGACACUCUUCAAAUGAUUGGUCUAUAUGUCGUCUGCUAUAGCUUUUGUCCUUGUCCAUUUUUGAAUUCUUAGCAACUUUUGAACACUUUUGGCUAUUAUAUAUACUGCAAAUAUUUUUCCAAGUCUUCAGUUGGUCUAUAGAUUCUAUUUGUAGUCUAUAUAGCCAGAUAUACUUAUCUUUUUUUUUAAUGGAUGAUUGGUUUUCUGUCUUGCUUAAGAACAUCUUUACCAAGGAUUUUCUUCUGGUAUUUUUAUUGCAUUAUAUUAAAAUAUUUGAUUCAACUGGAAUUUAAAAAUACGUUAUAUGAAGUAAAAGUCUAAAUUUGUGUUUUUAUAUCUGGGUUUUUAGUUGAGUAGUACUGAAUUAAAAGCCAACUUUGUCAUGUGUAUCUGAAUAUAAUUCUAGAUUCUCUGUUCUCUUCUCCAAAUUUGUUUAUUCCUGUGUCAAAACUAUACUCUUCUAAUUAUGGUAGCUUCAUAGUAAGUUGUAAUGUCUGUGAAAUUAUGUUAAAAUUUACAUAUUAAUUUGGAAUGGUUAUAAUAUGGAUAUGAUAUGAUGUCUUUACAUCCAGUAUCAUUUUGUGCCUCUCUGUUUAACAAUAUAUGAUUAUUUUCUUUAUAUAGCCACUGUACCUUCCUAGGAAUUUCAAGUUUUUGUUGUUAUGAGAAUUGUUGUUUAUUUCAUUUCCAUUUCUACUUGUACCGAUGGUUAAAAAAAAGGAAAAGUAUUGAUUGCCGUGUAUUUAUCUUGUAUGCUCUUAUCGAUUUUCUAUGAAUUCUAAUUGUUUUUCAGUAGAGUUUCUUGGGUUUUCUAGCUACAUAAUAAUCUCAUGUGCAAAUACAGAUUAUUUUGUUUUUUUCUUUUCCAACGUUUAUAGCAAAUAUUUUACUUUUUUUACUAUUGCAACUGCUGGAAAUUCGUAAAUAAUUUUUAAUAAUCAUAGCCCCAGUGGAUACUCCUACAUUGUUCUCGAUUUUAAAAAAUAAAAAUGCGCUCAGUAUUUUACCUUUUUCUCUUUGUUUAUUUUUGUCAGAUAGUCUUUAGCAUAUUUAGUUUCAUCCUAAUCACAUUUUAUUUAGAAUUCUUUAUAUAGGAAUAACUGCUGGAUUUUUCUAAUUGACCUUUUAUAAGUCUUAUGUUUUUUGCUUGUAUUUGUAUAUGUGAUGUUAAACAUUCCAAUUAUGAACAAUGGUUUUGUUCCUAAUAGAAAUUCUACUUUAUAAUCAUAUUAGCCUUUUAAUAAUACUGCUGAAUUGACUUGUUAUUGCUCAUUUAUAAUUUUGCAUCUAUAUUCAUAAGAGAGAUUGAUCUACACAUUUAGAAACUAUUUUAUCAGGCCUUUGAAAUUUGGAUCAUCUUAUUUUCAUAAAAUAAGUUGGGGGAGCUUUCUAUCUUUUUCCUUUGUGUGGAAUAACUUAAAUAAUAGUAGAUUAUCUGAUCUUUAAGAUUUUUAAAUUCGAUUUAUUUGAAUAUAAUUGUCUUAGUGUGCUAAAAAUUAUGCGGAGGGAUAUUGAAUUUGCUAGAAAUGAAAUUUUCUCAAAUCUCAUGUCUGCCCUAAAAAGCAUGUAGGGCAGAACUGAGAGGGAGCAUGUUUAUUUUCCCUCAGGAAGCUCUAUGCACUGGACAAUUUUCACAAAGCAAUUCUGUAGGAAAAAGAAUAAGAACAAGCUAAAUAAAGACAAUUCAUACCACCAUAAUUUUCUUUACUAAAACAAAAUCUUAAAAUGGGGAAUCCAGGAAAUUAAACCUAGAGGGAAAGUUUUAGGUUUGAAUACGAGAAUAAAUCCAUGCAUAUUUCAUUAUAAGCAGAGUUGUAGAGAUUAAUACUUCAUCUGGGAUAAGAAGAGAGAGUGAAAAUGACUUCUGUGCAGAUCCAUUCCACCAGGACUGAUAAAAGUUACUUAUCUAUGAAAUAUCUUCAUCACUGACCAUACAAAAUGACCCGCUCAUAAUUGGCCCAUUCUCCAAGACCGUAACAUAUGUCAGCAUAAACGUACACUUUGGAUCCCUUUUCUAUCCAUCCAGUUUGAUUUCAAUAGCACUGUUUUCUUUUGCCUUCUGUUUAAUUGAAAAUUAAUUAUCCUACAGGCAAGUCCCAGGACUUAAAUCCAGGAAAUACUGCCUCAUUUAUUUAUUUAUUUAUUUAUUGCUUUGACCAGUUAAAACUUCCAGAAUCCACUGGGAUUUGUAUAUGAGGAAGUUAAUUAUUUCACAUGAUCUUGGAGCAAGGCCCAUUCUGAUAACAAUUGUUUAACUGUGAUUUCAAAACUGUUUCCUGAAGUCUUUGUCAUUCUGUGAGAAUACUGCAGUUCUAAUAACAGACGUUUGAAUUGAGAGCGUCCAUCUCUUUGACAUCAUAAAGCAAAUAUUUUGUGAGGUAAAGACAGUAAGAUAGUCCAAAAAGCAAUUUAAAGUCUGAACGAUCAGCAUAAGGGAAAGUGGGAUAUUCCGUGCAGAGUCUUUAUAAUCUCUCUGGAGCAACAUAUCCUGAAGGAAUGUGCACAUAUACGCUUUUGAGAAAAAUUUAUGAGCAAGGGAUGAAGAAAGAGUUUGUCAACUCCUCAGGAAGAAAAGAUUGUGUAUCCUAUUUUGUUUAGAUAUGUAAUGAAAUUAAUUUUUUCUACUCAGGCAAGGGAAACAAAAGAAGAAAUAAACAAGUGGGGCUACAU